AAAGUGAUCAUGAAAAAUUAUAGUUAUACAUACAAAUAAGUAAACAACAAAAUGGGUGAAAUAAUGAAGUUUGUUUAUGUAAUGAUUAUUUAUCUUUUCAUGUUCAAUGUGGCAACCGGCAGUGAGUUUAUUUUUACAAAAAAGCUUACUUCAUGUGAUUCUAGUAAAGAUUGUCGCAGUUUUCUCUGUUAUAGUCCAAAAUUUCCAGUCUGCAAAAGGGGGAUUUGUGAAUGCAUUUAAUAGUAUAAAUUAAAUUCAAAGCUACUUAUAUGGUACUUCUAAAAAUGAAUAAUUGUAUUUGAAAUUAUAUUGUUCAAACAUUUAUGAUAUAUUUCACACUUCAAUAUUCGUUCGUCAGACCUUUAAAUUUAACUAA